GAAGCCUGGCUGCAUUCAUUCCUCCUGGCCCCUGAUGGUGACUAAUUCUUAAAUUUCCCCACGCAAAAUACCACUCAGAUCUCAACAAUGCCGAGCACUCCUGCCAGCAGAGAAAAAAGAAAUCACAUAUCCAAUGACUGCAGGACCCAAGUGGGCUUAUAAUGGCCUGAAUAACAGAUACAUUCUUUUGGUGGGUACCAUGCACAGCUGAAAAUUUCUGUCUACAUCCAGAUAAGCUUCGAAGUCCUCAACUCCCAUACAGCUACGACCCGCAUCCAAAAUCGACGCCCGGCGCCCUCCGAGCUCCCACCACGUGCCUGCUCCAUGUCGGGGCACGAACGUCGUAUGCUGCCGCCACCUGCCACAUCCGGUACAAGGGUACACGUGUUCACAUCUGCAGAGUCAGCUUGGAGCCCACGUAUUCUCCAGGAGAAGGCGAAAGCCAGCAAGUGGCUUUCCGACGUCCCUACCGCUCCAAAAACGAUUUCCUGCACAAAACCCGAGCCGUGGGCGUCAGGCUCUGGGGCACAUCUGGGAUCAUUUUACCCAUUUGAGAAAGGAUGCUGACGGACCUCUCUGGAUGCCUAGAAGCCACUGCCACCAAUUUGGAAAGCCUCCUGUAUACUGAGCAUGGUUUAAUCUUCCCUUGAUCAGUGCCUGUAGGAACCCAAGCCACCCGCAGGCUAUUAUUAUGGACAUAAAUUACCAUCCCAUUGCCGAUGUGUAGGCGA